CACAUGUGUAAACACAGGGGAGCAAUUAUUAUAACUGUUCACGAAUAAAGGUGACAAUAGAUAAGUACAAUUGUUGGCGAACUGUAAAAUUAAAUCGUUUUAUAUUGCUUUAGAGUGUCAGCAGUAUGAACAUCGAUAUUUCGGACAAUGCCAGUUAUUGUGACGAUGAAGAAACCGAACACCUGGAGCACAACAUCAUGAACAUGAUACUAAUCAAAUAAAUGAAAUCAUGAACGAGAUGCAAUAUUUGGAUCUUCUGGUCAUAAGGAAGAUGACAAUGGUGAAAGUGAUGAAGAAGAGGCGGCCAGCUGGGGGCGAUGAAUGUAAGAUGUGGAAAGAUAUAUCAAGGAAUACUGAUGAAUGUGACAAGAUGGAGGUGGAUACCCUUUCAGAUAGAUGAUUUAUUGUUGGAGAGAGGGAAAUAUUGGACCUGCUUAAAAGGAGCAUGUUUCAAAGAGUGAGGUGGACCAAUACUUCGCUCUUCGUUGUUGAGGCAGAGAAAAUAGCUGCAGGAGUAAAGAAUUAAUUUACCUGCACAGUA